UCUAUUUUUUCAGGGUGUCUACAAUCCUCACAUGGGUCAGCAUUACCUUCAAAUAUAUGGCGUACCAAGCACAGUUAACACAAAUAUUGUCCCAUAUGGACAAAUGGGCCAUCCUCUCUCUGGCAACCAUGGGUAUCCAACCAUUCAGGGCUAUGUGACACCAGGUCGUCAUGUUCUGCAAUAUGGGGGACCCCUCGUUAAUGGAGUAACUACAGACACUAUUACCAUAACUCAAACACAAUACCUUGCAGUAUCCUGAACUACAGGCAUCUGCAAUGCUUGCUUUAUGUUGAUUUAUGAUUAUUGAUGCAGAUUUUUGUGAUGCAAAUCUCCAACUUCUCUUCACUGUUGGGGAGAACGCAAAUUUCUAGCUUGAAAAUGAUAUUGGAUUUCUAUCAGGUUUUUUGCUCAUACCUUUCAGUAGAUGUUUCGUGUAAAUAGUGAAUUGUGCAUAUUUGCUGGCUGCAUACAGGUAUUUUCACAGGACAAAUCCAUUUAUGAAGCUGUGGAGAAUGCAUUCAUCACAAUAUAUCUCUGAAGUUUAUAGUUGGUGCCUUGGUAUCCAAAGGUGAUAUAACUACAAGCACGGUAUGCUUCUCUCCUCGUCUUUCAAUAAUCUUUUACAAAUCGUAAGUUAGUUGAAAUCUUUUGGUUGAGCUAUUUUUGAU